GUAGGGUGGGCAAGCGUUGUCCGGAAUUAUUGGGGCGUAAAGCGCGCGCAGGCGGUCCUUUAAGUCUGAUGUGAAAGCCCACGGCUCAACCGUGGAGGGUCAUUGGAAACUGGGGGACUUGAGUACAGAAGAGGAAAGCGGAAUUCCAAGUGUAGCGGUGAAAUGCGUAGAGAUUUGGAGGAACACCAGUGGCGAAGGCGGCUUUCUGGUCUGUAACUGACGCUGAGGCGCGAAAGCGUGGGGAGCAAACAGGAUUAGAUACCCUGGUAGUCCACGCCGUAAACGAUGAGUGCUAAGUGUUAGGGGGGUUUCCGCCCCUUAGUGCUGCAGCUAACGCAUUAAGCACUCCGCCUGGGGAGUACGGCCGCAAAGGCUG
rnacentral:rRNA from 1 species